rnacentral:rRNA from 1 species
GACGAACGCUGGCGGCGUGCCUAAUACAUGCGAGUUGAGCGCUGAAGGUUGGUACUUGUACCGACUGGAUGAGCAGCGAACGGGUGAGUAACGCGUGGGGAAUCUGCCUUUGAGCGGGGGAUAACAUUUGGAAACGAAUGCUAAUACCGCAUAAAAACUUUAAACACAAGUUUUAAGUUUGAAAGAUGCAAUUGCAUCACUCAAAGAUGAUCCCGCGUUGUAUUAGCUAGUUGGUGAGGUAAAGGCUCACCAAGGCGAUGAUACAUAGCCGACCUGAGAGGGUGGACGGCCACAUUGGGACUGAGACACGGCCCAAGCUCCUACGGGAGGCAGCAGUAGGGAAUCUUCGGCAAUGGACGAAAGGCUGGCCGGGCAACGCCGCGUGGGUGAAGAAGGUUUUCGGAUCGUAAAACUCUGUUGGUAGGGAAGAACGUUGGUUGGAAUGGAAAGCGCAUCAAGUGACGGUAACUACCCAGAAAGGGACGGCUAACUACGUG